UACGGAGGGUGCGAGCGUUGUUCGGAAUCACUGGGCGUAAAGGGCGCGUAGGCGGCCGAUCAAGUCGGGGGUGAAAGCCUGUGGCUCAACCACAGAAUUGCCUUCGAUACUGGUUGGCUUGAGACCGGAAGAGGUAAGUGGAACUGCGAGUGUAGAGGUGAAAUUCGUAGAUAUUCGCAAGAACACCAGUGGCGAAGGCGGCUUACUGGUCCGGUUCUGACGCUGAGGCGCGAAAGCGUGGGGAGCAAACAGG
rnacentral:rRNA from 1 species